GGAGAAGUGUCCGAGUGGCCGAAGGAGCACGCCUGGAAAGUGUGUAUACGUUCAUCCGUAUCGAGGGUUCGAAUCCCUCCUUCUCCGCCA
rnacentral:tRNA from 1 species